rnacentral:lncRNA from 1 species
GCUGAGUCAACGCCUGGGAAGACACCGGACUUCCGUUUCGAUCCAGCCGGGCUGCGCCAUUGUUUGCGUGGGCCUAGGGUUUUGGACCCUCCGGGUGUUCCUUCAGAGGCUCCGUAAGUGGCGCCGACUCUCGAGAGGGCCGAGCCAGAUGUGGACCAGGGCUGGAAGUGCUGUGGCUGAAGGAAGAGUGGCAGAAAAGUAGAGUUGGGGCGAAAAGCGACUCCGACUUAGAAACAUUGGCGACACCCCGGUAUAGGUGGGUUACUCCUAGCUCCUCUCGCCUA